GACGAACGCUGGCGGCGUGCUUAACACAUGCAAGUCGAACGGAAAGGCCCUGCUUUUGUGGGGUGCUCGAGUGGCGAACGGGUGAGUAACACGUGAGUAACCUGCCCUUGACUUUGGGAUAACUUCAGGAAACUGGGGCUAAUACCGGAUAGGAGCUCCUGCUGCAUGGUGGGGGUUGGAUAGUUUCGGCGGUUGGGGAUGGACUCGCGGCUUAUCAGCUUGUUGGUGGGGUAGUGGCUUACCAAGGCUUUGACGGGUAGCCGGCCUGUGAGGGUGACCGGCCACAUUGGGACUGAGAGACGGACCAGAGUCCAACGGGAGGCAGCAGUGGGGAAUAUUGCACAAUGGGCGGAAGCCUGAUGAAGAAACGCCGCGUGCGGGAUGACGGCCUUCGGGUUGUAAACCGCUUUAGCCUGUGACGAAGCGUGAGUGACGGUAAUGGGUAAAGAAGCACCGGCUAACUACGUG
rnacentral:rRNA from 1 species